GUAGGGUGCGAGCGUUAAUCGGAAUUACUGGGCGUAAAGCGUGCGCAGGCGGUGAGUUAAGUCUGAUGUGAAAGCCCCGGGCUCAACCUGGGAAUGGCAUUGGAAACUGGCUCGCUAGAGUGUGGCAGAGGGGGGUGGAAUUCCGCGUGUAGCAGUGAAAUGCGUAGAGAUGCGGAGGAACACCGAUGGCGAAGGCAGCCCCCUGGGCCAACACUGACGCUCAGGCACGAAAGCGUGGGGAGCAAACAGGAUUAGAUACCCUGGUAGUCCACGCCCUAAACGAUGUCAACUGGGUGUUGGGGAAGCGAUUCCUUGGUACCGUAGCUAACGCGUGAAGUUGACCGCCUGGGGAGUACGGCCGCAAGGUUA
rnacentral:rRNA from 1 species